GGUUGGUGCAAAAGUAACUGCGGUUUUUGCUAUGACUUUCAAAUGGCAAAAACCUCAAUUACUUUUGCACCAA
rnacentral:miRNA from 1 species